rnacentral:misc_RNA from 1 species
UAAUAAGUGUUUUUAUGGCACUUUUUAAAUCCAUAUCCACCUUGUGUGCAAUGUCAGUCGGUUUUUCUUUUUUCGUCAAGAAAAAUAAGGAUCGACCAAACAUCAACUUAUUCUAAUUGAACUUUUGUCUGAAAACUAUUAUGAAUAAACUAAUAUCAAGAUA